rnacentral:tRNA from 2 species
UGCCCCCUCGUAUAAUGGCAAUACGCCUGACUCUGGAUCAGGUAAUCGGGGUUCGAAUCCCUGGGGGGCAGCCA